CCUACGGGAGGCAGCAGUAGGGAAUCUUCCACAAUGGGCGAAAGCCUGAUGGAGCAACGCCGCGUGGGUGAAGAAGGUCUUCGGAUCGUAAAACCCUGUUGUUAGAGAAGAAAGUGCGUGAGAGUAACUGUUCACGUUUCGACGGUAUCUAACCAGAAAGCCACGGCUAACUACGUGCCAGCAGCCGCGGUAAUACGUAGGUGGCAAGCGUUAUCCGGAUUUAUUGGGCGUAAAGGGAACGCAGGCGGUCUUUUAAGUCUGAUGUGAAAGCCUUCGGCUUAACCGGAGUAGUGCAUUGGAAACUGGGAGACUGGAGUGCAGAAGAGGAGAGUGGAACUCCAUGUGUAGCGGUGAAAUGCGUAGAUACAUGGAAGAACACCAGUGGCGAAAGCGGCUCUCUGGUCUGUAACUGACGCUGAGGUUCGAAAGCGUGGGUAGCAAACAGGAUUAGAUACCCCUGUAGUC
rnacentral:rRNA from 1 species